UACGUAGGGGGCAAGCGUUGUCCGGAUUUAUUGGGCGUAAAGAGCGUGUAGGCGGCCAGGUAGGUCCGUUGUGAAAACUCGAGGCUCAACCUCGAGACGCCGAUGGAAACCAUCUGGCUAGAGUCCGGAAGAGGAGAGUGGAAUUCCCGGUGUAGCGGUGAAAUGCGCAGAUAUCGGGAGGAACACCGAUUGCGAAGGCAGCUCGCUGGGACGUCACUGACGCUGAGACGCGAAAGCGUGGGGAGCAAACAGG
rnacentral:rRNA from 1 species